ACACAGGUUUUUGUCACAGCACUUUUCACUGUGGGGGGCAGCAAGAUCUUUGGCUCAGGCACCAGACUGUAUGUAACAGAUCGUCCAGUUGUGCCGCCCAAAGUGAGCAUCUACCCAGCGACCAGAGCUGAUCCAGAGGUGAAGAGCUCCCUGCUGUGUCUGGCCACAUCCAUGUUUCCUCCUCUGGUCCAGUUCUCCUGGAGGACACAGGACAACAAGAAGAUUCCUGAGGGAGAGCGAGUGGAGCUCAGAGAGGAAGAGCACGCCGCCUCCAUCGUGCUGAUCGAUCAGGAGGAGCUCAUCACAUAUCAAUACAUCUGCUCCGUCAAACACCAAGGGGGCACGGUGGAGGCCAAGAUACCACCAGAGCUUCCAGCAUCUGCAGCCGAGCUGCCAGCCGGGGAGCAAAGUGAGGAUGUGAUCGCUCUGUAA